GUACUCGCUUCGGUGGUACAUAUACUAAAAUUGGAAUGAUACAGAGAAGAUUAGCAUGACUCCUGCUCAAGGAUGACAGGCAAAAUCCUGAAGCGUUCCAUAUGUUU
rnacentral:snRNA from 1 species